AUUGAACGCUGGCGGCAGGCCUAACACAUGCAAGUCGAACGGUAACAGGAAGCAGCUUGCUGCUUUGCUGACGAGUGGCGGACGGGUGAGUAAUGUCUGGGAAACUGCCCGAUGGAGGGGGAUAACUACUGGAAACGGUAGCUAAUACCGCAUAACGUCGCAAGACCAAAGAGGGGGACCUUAGGGCCUCUUGCCAUCGGAUGUGCCCAGAUGGGAUUAGCUAGUAGGUGGGGUAACGGCUCACCUAGGCGACGAUCCCUAGCUGGUCUGAGAGGAUGACCAGCCACACUGGAACUGAGACACGGUCCAGACUCCUACGGGAGGCAGCAGUGGGGAAUAUUGCACAAUGGACGCAAGCCUGAUGCAGCCAUGCCGCGUGUAUGAAGAAGGCCUUCGGGUUGGAAAGUACUUUCAGCGGGGAGGAAGGGAGUAAAGUUAAUACCUUUACUCAUUGACGUUACCCGCAGAAGAAGCACCGGCUAACUCCGUG
rnacentral:rRNA from 1 species